UUUUCUUCUCUUUUACUAUGAUGAUUUUCCUGCUGUGAAGCUUUUCUUGUUUAAAGCUCAAUUUCUCUAUGACCACGGAAGUAAACAUCCUGAUGCAUUCUUACCAUGUGAAUGUUGAGAGCGGGUUCAUUUUUGAAAUCUUCUUUCUGACAGACAUAUUCUACAUGAUCAUCUGAAAUGUUAUUUCACUGGAUUUUUUAAUGGAUAGGCUUAUUGGGCAUAUAGUUGGAUAUCUCUGGAUCAGCUGAGAUGUUAUUUCACUGGAUUAUUUAAUGGAUAGGCUUAUUGGGCAUAUAGUUGGAUAUCUCUGUCAUCAACAUGGAAGAUAAGGUUUGUUCCUAACCAUCUAUAAUCAAUUCUCUAUGAAGUUCAGACUGUCUGCUGUUCCUUUGGAAAUACACAGUUAGUCAACCAACAUAGAAACACACAAACUUGAAGGAUUCUCUAGUGAGGCCUUAUGGAAAUGAUAUAUGUCUACUCUCAGAAUGGUGAAAGACUAUCAGAUUAUGCAAAGACUAACAGAAUAUCCUCUCUUGGAACACUGAAACAAGAAAAUCAAACAGGAGAUGGAUGGAGGAUUUAAGAAGCACAUAGAUAAAUAUGAUUUCCAACUAAUU